UACGGAGGGUGCAAGCGUUGUCCGGAAUCACUGGGCGUAAAGGGCGCGUAGGCGGUUUGUCGCGUCUGCCGUGAAAGUCCGGGGCUCAACUCCGGAUCUGCGGUGGGUACGGGCAGACUAGAGUGAUGUAGGGGGAGACUGGAAUUCCUGGUGUAGCGGUGAAAUGCGCAGAUAUCAGGAGGAACACCGGUGGCGAAGGCGGGUCUCUGGGCCGAUACUGACGCUGAGGAGCGAAAGCGUGGGGGAGCGAACAGG
rnacentral:rRNA from 1 species